rnacentral:rRNA from 1 species
UACGUAGGGGGCGAGCGUUGUCCGGAAUCAUUGGGCGUAAAGGGCGCGUAGGCGGCUAUACAAGUCUGAUGUGAAAGUGCGGGGCUUAACUCCGUAAAGCAUUGGAAACUGUAUGGCUUGAGGACAGGAGAGGAAAGUGGAAUUCCACGUGUAGCGGUGAAAUGCGUAGAGAUGUGGAGGAACACCAGUGGCGAAGGCGACUUUCUGGACUGUAACUGACGCUGAGGCGCGAAAGCGUGGGGAGCGAACAGGAUUAGAUACCCUGGUAGUCCACGCCGUAAACGAUGAAUGCUAGGUGUAGAGGGUAUCGACCCCUUCUGUGCCGCAGUUAACACAAUAAGCAUUCCGCCUGGGGAGUACGGCCGCAAGGUUGAA